UUGCCACCGCGGCCAACUGGUGGACCCAAGACCCCGGACCGCUACGCUCCUCAGUCCUGACGCCGCCGCCCGCCGCCGUUGCCUACGAGCCCGGGAUGCUCCGCGGCGCCAUCUCCCGCCUCGGCGCUCGCCUCCGCCUCCACGCCGACCCUUCCCCGGUCUCUCCUUACCUCCGCGCCCUCUCCACCCGCCGCGGCAAGCGCUCCUCCCCCACCGUGUCGCCCGCUGACUCCGAUGACGAGGGACCCCUGCGCGGCCUCUUCGUGCUAUCCCGCGACCCCGAGUGCCCGCCGCGGCUGCUGGUGGUGCAGCCGCGCCUCCGCCCCGGAAGCCUCCUCGACUCCAAGCUUGCCGAGGCACUCAACCUGGCCAACUCCCUCGAGGAGCCCCGCGACGGCUUCUACCACAGCGAGUUCGGCGCCAAGGGCGCGCCGCCGCACCUCGUCGUCCAGAACCCCGCCUCCCGCGGUCGCUCACACGCCGAUACAUAUUUCGGCCCUGGAACUGUGGAUAAUGUCAAGUGCUACCUGAGGGCUUCGGAAUCAGAGGAAGAUGUGGAUGCAGUUUUUGUCAAUGCGAUUCUCUCUGGAAUCCAACAGAGAAACUUGGAGGUUGCCUGGGGAAAGCCGGUUUUGGAUCGUGUUGGGCUUAUAAUUGAAAUAUUCAAUGCUCAUGCUGAAACAAAAGAAGCAAAGUUACAGUCAGAGUUGGCAGCUCUCAUGUACAUGAAGACUAGGCUUGUCCGUGUACGUGGCCCAGGUGGACGACUAACUUUUGGUCCAAGCGGGGAGGCUGAGGUUGUCAGUGCAAGAGGGAGAGGUAGUGGGGGGAGGGGAUUCAUGAGUGGUGCUGGUGAAACAGAACUUCAGCUACAACGGAGAAGAAUCCAAGAACGCCGUGUGAGCUUGUUAGCUCAAAUCGAAGAUGUACGCCGUACUAGAGCAAUACAACGUUCAAGUCGGAAAAGACAUGGUGGCUCGUUUGGUCACGAGCUUGUAACUGUUGCAGUUGUCGGAUAUACAAAUGCUGGGAAAUCUACACUUGUGAGUGCGCUUUCUGAAGCUGAUUUGUACAGUGAUGACAGGCUGUUUGCAACAGUAGAUCCCCGGUUACGAAGUGUGAUUCUUCCAUCAGGGAGAAAAGCACUUCUUAGUGAUACCGUUGGCUUCAUCUCAGAUUUACCAGUGCAGCUAGUGGAAGCAUUUCAUGCAACUCUAGAAGAAGUCGUUGAAGCAGACAUGUUAGUGCAUGUCUUGGAUUCAAGUGCAUCUGAUCUUGAAGAGCAUCGAUCUACUGUAUUGCAAGUACUGCAGCAGAUAGGUGUUUCUCAGGAAAAGAUCAACAAUAUGAUUGAAGUUUGGAACAAGAUUGAUCUUGUGGACGAGAAUGUUACAUCUGAUGGGAUUGAAGAUGAAAUCUUCCUGACUGAAGGUGAAGAGGAGGAUGACAUAUUCUCUGAAGAUGAUAUUCCAUCAGAACAAUCAUCUUUUGAUUCUGUAGAUGAUGGAGCAGAUUCAGAAUAUUUAUCAGAAGAAAAUUCUGAAGAUAGCAAUGAUGAAGUGCCAUGUAAAGAGUCAUUUGCUGAGCCAACCGAGAUGGAAGCAAUGAAAGUGUUAUCAUCAAAAGAAUGUUUUGGAGCGAUGGAAGCAGUGAAAGCAUCAAAAGAAUGUUUUGGAGAACUUCGUGUCCCAUAUACAAAUGGACGCACUUUGCCACAACCAACUUCCAAUUGUCAUGUAAAAACUUCUGCUGUGACCGGGACAGGAUUGCAAGAGUUGUUGGCAUUGAUAGAUAGGAAACUGACUGAACAACAAACUGUUGUGCAAAGAAGCGAUGGACCUUUCGACAGAAAAUGGAGACCUAGCUCUAUGGAUGGUGAAAAUGCUGCAGAGCAGUAGAAUUUUUGCAUCAGAAAGAUUGAAGAAACACAGGAAGGGACUGUAUGAAUUUUGAUCAAUAUUUGGUGAAAGGAGGCCUUCAAGCAGAUGUCUGGAUCGAUAAGUAUGUCAGGGUUGACAGGAGGUACAAAGGCAUUGCACUGAUCGAUUCUAAAGGUGAACUACCAUUAUCCGGAUAUGCGGAACAGUAGGUCCCGAAUCCCGAUUGUGUUGUGCCGAGACUCAGACUCUGUUCUUUAAUCAUGCUCCGCAACAAGGAGACAGCACAAGGCUCUGUAGACUGAAAAUUUCCCCUUUGAUUGUACAAGUAUGUUACACUACAUAGAGAAAAAAAAAAAGAAGAUUGUAUAAUGUUAGUAACCGUGUUUCUCUUCGCUACACUAACCUUUUGAUAAAUUUGUGGUUUCGUUUGCUUAA